rnacentral:rRNA from 1 species
UACGGAGGGUGCAAGCGUUAUCCGGAUUUACUGGGUUUAAAGGGUGCGUAGGCGGACUUUUAAGUCUGGGGUGAAAUCCCGGGGCUCAACCCCGGAACUGCCUUUGAUACUAUUGGUCUUGAAUGUUGUGGAGGUGGGCGGAACGGGUCAUGUAGCGGUGAAAUGCAUAGAUAUGACCCGGAACACCGAUUGCGAAGGCAGCCCGCUACGCAACGAUUGACGCUGAGGCACGAAAGCGUGGGGAUCAAACAGG